GCCUGGUUAGCUCAGUCGGUAGUGCAAUGAGACUUAAUUUCAGGGUCAUGGGUUUGAGUCCCACAUCAGGUG